rnacentral:rRNA from 1 species
CAAGGCUUGACAUGCGCGGUGGAAUCCCAGAGAUGGGGUGUCAUUUAGUUGGUCGCGUACAGGUGGUGCAUGGUUGUCGUCAGCUCGUGUCGUGAGAUGUUGGGUUAAGUCCCGCAACGAGCGCAACCCUCGUUCCAUGUUGCCAGCACGUUAUGGUGGGGACUCAUGGGAGACUGCCGGGGUCAACUCGGAGGAAGGUGGGGAUGACGUCAAAUCAUCAUGCCCCUUAUGUCUUGGGCUUCACGCAUGCUACAAUGGCCAGUACAGAGGGCUGCGAUACCGCGAGGUGGAGCGAAUCCCAAAAAGCUGGUCUCAGUUCGGAUCGGGGUCUGCAACUCGACCCCGUGAAGUCGGAGUCGCUAGUAAUCGCAGAUCAGCAACGCUGCGGUGAAUACGUUCCC